rnacentral:rRNA from 1 species
UACGAAGGGGGCUAGCGUUGUUCGGAAUUACUGGGCGUAAAGCGCACGUAGGCGGGUUUGUAAGUAGGGGGUGAAAUCCCAGGGCUCAACCCUGGAACUGCCUUCUAGACUGCAAGCCUGGAGGUCAGGAGAGGCGAGUGGAAUACCGAGUGUAGAGGUGGAAUUCGUAAAUAUUCGGUGGAACACCAGUGGCGAAGGCGACUCGCUGGACUGAUACUGACGCUGAGGCACGAAAGCUGGGGGAGCAAACAGG